CCAGAGACGCAAACGUUAGUCGUCAUUCACCGGCGUAAAGGGUUCGUAGGCGGCUUUAAGAUCUCUUUUUUUUAAAAUAGCACCCUUACAGGGUUAAGAAAAGAGACAAUUAAAGCUAGAAUCAUAAAGAGGUCAUAUUGAAUAAUUCUAAGACUAUAAGGGGUGAUAUCUUAAGAUACUUGGAGGAAUAUUAAAGGGCGAAGGCUUUUUUUCCAUAAAUGAUUGACGCUGAGGAACGAAGGGGAGGAGCGGGAACAGGAUUAGAUACCCAUUUACCCCUCUCUGUCAACGAUGAAUGGUAGUUUACCUGAAUAAAAAAUAGGUGGCAAAGCUAACGCGAUAACCAUUCCGCCAUGCGAGUACGAUUGCAAAGUUGAAAGCAAAAAAAUUA
rnacentral:rRNA from 1 species